CUUAGACACCAACUAGUUUAAUUAGUUUCGAUUAGAUCAACCUAACAGUUCGUGCUAGACCGCUUAGCCAAGAAUCAAGUCCAUUUGGUUCUCGUUAAAGAUAUAAACUUAACCAACUAUAACUAUUGUAAUUGAUCUAGAGAAUUCUUGACCUAAUCUAAGACAACAAUUGAUUAGAUUUAGUCAAUUCUCUAAUUAAGUCCAUC
rnacentral:lncRNA from 1 species